GAUGAACGCUGGCGGCGUGCUUAACACAUGCAAGUCGAACGGAAAGGCCUCUGCUUGCAGGGGUACUCGAGUGGCGAACGGGUGAGUAACACGUGGGUGAUCUGCCCUGCACUUCGGGAUAAGCCUGGGAAACUGGGUCUAAUACCGGAUAGGACAAUGGUUUGGAUGCCGUUGUGGAAAGUUUUUCGGUGUGGGAUGAGCUCGCGGCCUAUCAGCUUGUUGGUGGGGUAAUGGCCUACCAAGGCGUCGACGGGUAGCCGGCCUGAGAGGGUGUACGGCCACAUUGGGACUGAGAUACGGCCCAGACUCCUACGGGAGGCAGCAGUGGGGAAUAUUGCACAAUGGGCGCAAGCCUGAUGCAGCGACGCCGCGUGGGGGAUGGCGGCCUUCGGGUUGUAAACUCCUUUCGCUAGGGACGAAGCGUUUUUGUGACGGUACCUGGAGAAGAAGCACCGGCUAACUACGUGCCAGCAGCCGCGGUAAUACGUAGGGUGCGAGCGUUGUCCGGAAUUACUGGGCGUAAAGAGCUCGUAGGUGGUUUGUCGCGUCGUUUGUGUAAGCCCGCAGCUUAACUGCGGGACUGCAGGCGAUACGGGCAUAACUUGAGUGCUGUAGGGGAGACUGGAAUUCCUGGUGUAGCGGUGGAAUGCGCAGAUAUCAGGAGGAACACCGAUGGCGAAGGCAGGUCUCUGGGCAGUAACUGACGCUGAGGAACGAAAGCAUGGGUAGCGAACAGGAUUAGAUACCCUGGUAGUCCAUGCCGUAAACGGUGGGCGCUAGGUGUGAGUCCCUUCCACGGGGUUCGUGCCGUAGCUAACGCAUUAAGCGCCCCGCCUGGGGAGUACGGCCGCAAGGCUAAAACUCAAAGGAAUUGACGGGGACCCGCACAAGCGGUGGAGCAUGUGGUUUAAUUCGAAGCAACGCGAAGAACCUUACUAAAUCUUGACAUCCUCUGACCCCUCUAGAGAUAGAGUUUUCCCCUUCGGGGGACAGAGUGACAGGUGGUGCAUGGUUGUCGUCAGCUCGUGUCGUGAGAUGUUGGGUUAAGUCCCGCAACGAGCGCAACCCUUAAGCUUAGUUGCCAUCAUUAAGUUGGGCACUCUAAGUUGACUGCCGGUGACAAACCGGAGGAAGGUGGGGAUGACGUCAAAUCAUCAUGCCCCUUAUGGUUUGGGCUACACACGUGCUACAAUGGACAAUACAAAGGGUAGCGAAACCGCGAGGUCAAGCAAAUCCCAUAAAGUUGUUCUCAGUUCGGAUCGUAGUCUGCAACUCGACUAUAUGAAGCUGGAAUCGCUAGUAAUCGUAGAUCAGCAUGCUACGGUGAAUACGUUCCCGGGUCU
rnacentral:rRNA from 1 species